UGACACAGCUAAGAGCAUCUUUAUUGUGGUUUCCUAAAUGGGUUUUUUAAACAAAUAACAGCAAUUAAUUAAAUGAAAACUAAAUUAAAAUCUGUAUAACUGAUCCUUAAUCUGUGAUUUUCGGAUCCGUUUCUUAAGGAAAGAAGGACACACGUGUCUGAAUGUGGGCAACACAAUUAAUUUUUUUUUUCCCUUUUUCCUUUUCUCUUCCUCGGUUCUUCGACAUCUCUUCGUUUUCUCCGUCAUCUCUUCGGUUCUUCGACAUCUCAGAGGACGACAAUGGUUUGUUCUUCGUCUUCUCUUCGUCGAUCGAUUGAAUAUCAGAAUUGAUGUUUUGUUCUUCGUCUUCUCUUCGUCGAUUGAUGGAAGAUGAGACUUGAUGGUUUGUUCUUCGUCUUCUCUUCUCUUCGUUCUUCGUCUUCUCUUCGUCGAUGGUUUGUUUCUGAGGCAGAGUUUGUCGAUUGAUGGAAGAUCAGAGUCAUCCAUCAAGGAAGGAGAAGCUGAGAUUCAACGAUCACAAGAAGAAUCAAGUCUUCUUCAAUAAAGCUCAGGUUCCAAGCACAGAGAUAGAAAAAUCAGAGACACGAGAUCUUGGGAGCUAAGUUGUCUUCUUCUUGAGUAAGUGUGUUCCAUUUAGUCACGGACACAAGUAUUGGUCUUGUUGUGUAGUAAGUUUAGUCUUCUCAUGUCAAUGAAAGUGUAUUCAAGAUUGUUGUGUCUAUAUAAUCAUGUCUCCAUAGCUUUGUUGUUGUUGUAUGUCACGGACAAGAGGUCAGUGUAAUGUGGUCCUUGUUGUUUUGUGUCACGGACAAGAGGUCAAAUUAUGUUGUGUUGUUGUUUUGUGUCACGAACAAGAUGUUGUAAUGAAUUAAUAAUAUCUUGUAUGUGUCACAAACUUGUAUAAAUAAACCUUUGUUCUUCCUUUA